AACGAACGCUGGCGGCAUGCCUAACACAUGCAAGUCGAACGAACCCUUCGGGUUAGUGGCGCACGGGUGCGUAACGCGUGGGGAUCUGCCCUUUGCUUCGGAAUAACAGUUAGAAAUGACUGCUAAUACCGGAUGAUGUCGUAAGACCAAAGAUUUAUCGGCAAAGGAUGAACCCGCGUAGGAUUAGCUAGUUGGUGGGGUAAAGGCCUACCAAGGCGACGAUCCUUAGCUGGUCUGAGAGGAUGAUCAGCCACACUGGGACUGAGACACGGCCCAGACUCCUACGGGAGGCAGCAGUGGGGAAUAUUGGACAAUGGGCGCAAGCCUGAUCCAGCAAUGCCGCGUGAGUGAUGAAGGCCUUAGGUUGUAAGACUCUUUCAGUGGGGAAGGAUAAUGACUGUACCCACAGAAGAAGACCCCGGCUAACUCCGUG
rnacentral:rRNA from 1 species